rnacentral:rRNA from 1 species
AGAGUUUGAUCAUGGCUCAGAACGAACGCUGGCGGCGUGGCUAAGGCAUGCAAGUCGAACGGACUCCUUUGAUGGGUAACCUGAUUUGGAAGUUAGUGGCGAACUGGUGAGGAAUACAUGGAUAACGUACCCCAGACUCAGGGAUAGCGGCGGAACUUCGGUUCCUUUGCGAAAGUGCCGGUAAUACCUGAUGAUCCCGCGGAUUCUCCUGAUUCUGCGGGCAAAGCUCCGACGGUCUGGGAGCGGUUCAUGUCCUAUCAGCUUGUUGGUGAGGUAACGGCCCACCAAGGCUUUGACGGGUACCGGGCGUGAGAGCGUGAACCGACACAUCGGAACUGAGACACUGUCCGGACACCUGCGGGUGGCUGCAGCAACGAAUAUUCCGCAAUGGACGAAAGUCUGACGGAGCGACGCCGCGUGCAGGAAGAAGUCCCUCGGGAUGUAAACUGCUGUCAGGGGCAAGGAACAAUGACCAGCCCCAGAGGAAGCACCGGCUAACUCCGUGCCAGCAGCCGCGGUAACACGGAGGGUGCGAGCGUUGUUCGGAAUUACUGGGCUUAAAGUGCGUGUAGGCGGGGUGUCAGGUGUUGUGUGAAAUCCCCGGGCUCAACCCGGGAAUUGCACGGCAAACCGGCACUCUUGAGGCAGGUAGAGGUGAUUGGAACGACUGGUGGAGCGGUGAAAUGCGUAGAUAUCAGUUGGAACGCCAGAGGCGAAAGCGAGUCACUGGGCCUGUCCUGACGCUGAGACGCGAAAGCGUGGGUAGCAAACAGGAUUAGAUACCCUGGUAGUCCACGCCGUAAACGAUGCGCACUAGGUAUGAGAGGUUCUGACGCCGAUCGUGCCGAAGCAAAAGUGGUAAGUGCGCCGCCUGGGGAGUACGGCCGCAAGGCUAAAACUAAAAGGAAUUGACGGGGGCUCACACAAGCGGUGGAGCAUGUGGUUUAAUUCGACGCAACGCGAAGAACCUUACCUGGAUUUGACAUCCUCUGACAGCCCUGGAAACAGGGUCUUUCCGACUUGUCGGAACAGAGUGACAGGUGCUGCAUGGCUGUCGUCAGCUCGUGUCGUGAGAUGUUGGGUUAAGUCCCGCAACGAGCGCAACCCUUGUCUUCAGUUGCCAGUAUUAAGUUAGGCACUCUGAAGAUACUGCCUCGGUUAACGAGGAGGAAGGUGGGGAUGACGUCAAGUCCUCAUGGCCUUUAUAUCCAGGGCUACACACGUGCUACAAUGGGCUGUACAAAGGGUCGCCAGACCGCGAGGUUGAGCCAAUCCCAAAAAGCAGCUCUCAGUUCGGAUUGGAGUCUGCAACUCGACUCCAUGAAGUUGGAAUCGCUAGUAAUCGUGGAUCAGCAUGCCACGGUGAAUACGUUCCCGGGCCUUGUACACACCGCCCGUCACACCACGAAAGUCGGCUGUACCAGAAGUUGCUGGGCUAACCCCAUUAGGGGAGGCAGGCACCUAAGGUACGGUCGGUAAUUGGGGUGAAGUCGUAACAAGGUA